AAAGACUUGACGGUACUUCAUAACAACCUAGAGGAGCCUGUCUAAUAACCGAUACUCCACGAUUAACCCGACCCACCCUAGCCCAACAGUCUAUAUACCGCCGUCGCCAGCUUACCUUGUGAAAGAAAAAAAGUAAGCAAAAUAAGCCACCCCUAACACGACAGGUCAAGGUGUAACUCAUGGGUGGGUAAAAGAUGGGCUACAUUCUCUACCACAGAAAAUACGGAUAAAUUAUGAAACCUAAAAACUGAAGGCGGAUUUAGCAGUAUGUUAAGAAUAAAAUACUUAACUGAAACCAACGCAAUGAAGUGUGUACACACCGCCCGUCAUCCCUG
rnacentral:rRNA from 1 species